UAGGGAAUCUUCGGCAAUGGACGGAAGUCUGACCGAGCAACGCCGCGUGAGUGAAGAAGGUUUUCGGAUCGUAAAGCUCUGUUGUAAGAGAAGAACGAGUGUGAGAGUGGAAAGUUCACACUGUGACGGUAUCUUACCAGAAAGGGACGGCUAACUACGUGCCAGCAGCCGCGGUAAUACGUAGGUCCCGAGCGUUGUCCGGAUUUAUUGGGCGUAAAGCGAGCGCAGGCGGUUAGAUAAGUCUGAAGUUAAAGGCUGUGGCUUAACCAUAGUACGCUUUGGAAACUGUUUAACUUGAGUGCAAGAGGGGAGAGUGGAAUUCCAUGUGUAGCGGUGAAAUGCGUAGAUAUAUGGAGGAACACCGGUGGCGAAAGCGGCUCUCUGGCUUGUAACCGACGCUGAGGCUCGAAAGCGUGGGGAGCAAACAGGAUUAGAUACCCUGGUAGUCCACGCCGUAAACGAUGAGUGCUAGGUGUUAGACCCUUUCCGGGGUUUAGUGCCGUAGCUAACGCAUUAAGCACUCCGCCUGGGGAGUACGACCGCAAGGUUG
rnacentral:rRNA from 1 species